UCUGGUGGUUAUUGCGAGAGGCCCAGAACCCGAUCCCAUCCCGAACUCGACCGUUAAACCUCUUUGCGCCAAUGGUACUAAGUCUCAAGGCUUGGGAGAGUAGGUCGCUGCCAGGU
rfam:Devosia sp. 67-54 SCNpilot_cont_1000_bf_scaffold_2638, whole genome shotgun sequence.